GACCAGGCAUUCCUGAGUAGCCUAGCUGUUAACACAGGGUUGGACUAAUCUAAUGUCUGUCAGCACAUAGAUAUAAAAACAUAUACAUAUCUAUGUGUCAUCAGGUGGCAUUUCGAAACUGCAGCACCACCAGCAUGUGACGCACACUGGACACUGCAUCGUUUAAAUGGAUUUCUUGCAGAAGAUAAGCUGCUCUCUCUCUUUAUAAAUGUCAAUGAGUGUAAAUGUCAACAUCACAUCUAAAGGACUGAAGUCUGUCAGAAUUGUAGGAGAAACAUCUGAGAUAAUAAAAGAUGAAAACUGAGAUCUCCUUGUGACAUUAAAUAACAUCAGAAAUACAUCAGAAUAAUGGAUGACUGAUGCUUAACCAGAUUAUGUCCGCCAUUUCACGAUAUUUUCCACUCCACUCUUCUUCAUUCAUCUCCUCUGGUUUAGUGUGAUUCAGUGAGCUGUAACAUUGUCACGUGCCGCAUGUCUGUGACGUGAGUGAUAACAGCUCGUUCCUGUUCUGAAGAACCUCUAUAACUCAGUAACUUUUAGUUUCAAAGUCACCAUGAAAUCAAAAUGGACAAUUCUUGUUUUUGAUGGAAUAUUGCAGUAUUUAUUAUAAAUUAUUAUUUUUUAACCCUCUGGUCGUGUGGUGGUCAAAAAUUACUGAUUUUUUAUUUUAUUUCAAUGAAAUGAAUGUACUAUAUUUUAGUUUGAUAAUGUAUUUUUAGGGGAUUUUAUGGUACUAAAUUAUAUUUAUGGAAUAGAUAUGAUCGGUCAUAAAUCUUGAAUGCUUUGGAGCACAAACUUUUCCAGUUUGGCCUCUUUUUAUAGAAGACAGAUUAUUUCUGAGGUGAAAAAGUAAAAAGUGAAACUAAAAUAAGGUUAUAUAAGUUUAAUUAUGAAAAAUGCAUACAAAAUUUUUAUUUGUAUAUGAAAUAUAUUUUUUUUCAAGACAUGUUUUGCUCUAAAGCCAUACAUCUAAACAAGUUGUGUUCCAAAUUUGUGGUUAUCUAAAAAAUUUAGCUUUCAGUAAGAAUUUGUUUUGGUGCGGUACUAAACGUUUCCAUUAGAUGAAAUUCGUCUCCCAUUAAUUUCCAAUGCGCUCAUUUUUGACCAUAAAUAAUACAACUGUGAUUAUUUUUUUAGGACCAUUUAACCUUUUCAAAUCAUGUCCAUUUUUUGUUUGUUUGUUUGUUUGUUUGUUUGUUUGUUGUGUGUUCACACAGCAAGUGCAAAAACCUUUACCAAGUUUCGUUCCAUUCCCAUAAAGUAAAAAAUUCUAAAAAAACAAAAUGUAAAAUUUUUCAAAAAUGAGUUUCACUCAGAUAUAUAGGGAAGAAAAGAUAAUCGCAACUUCCAUUUCAUGCCGACUUUAAACUUAAAAGAAAUGCCUCUCUUUUUUUGUCCAUUCAAUGGAAGUGAAUGAUCACCAAAACUGUUUGGUUACCAACAUUUUUAAAAUGAUCUUGUGUUCAUACAGGUUUGGUACGACAUAUGGGUGAAUAAAUGAUGACAGUAUAUUUCAUGACAGUUUAUGACAGUGAAUCAUCCCUUAAAGGAAAUGUUUCUUUUAAAAAGCUACGUCAGACUUUCAGAAAUAUACUCAAGCUCAGACACUUUAUUAAUUAUAAGUUUCAUUAUUUACACUGGCAAGAAAAUGAACAGGAUGUUCAUAAAAAAGUAAGGGAUUGACAGAUGGUUUACAUGCGGAUGUCACAUUUUCAUAUUUUUAAUCAUCUUUUGAAAUUUUAAUAUCACGCCAACUUCUAUCAUUUGAUCAGACAGGAUGGAAUGUUCUAAUGACAAAAAACAGCUUUUUGAAUCUGACAGCUCUUUAGUUCCAUGGCCUCAUGGGAUAAUGAAGUGUCAGUGAUAUAUUUUAUCAAUUCAAACAAUAUUCUAAAGAAAACAUGUUUUGUUUGAAACAUAAUAAAUUGGACAUGACAAAACAUCUGCUCAAAUCAGUUUUAAAUUCACCCUUAUGUUAACUUGUGUUGUGUAUACAUAACCUAUGAUAAGUUGUGUAAUUGUGAUAACCUAAUUUGAUUUCCAAGGUUUAAAAAUUGUUUUAAUAUUUUAUUCAAUAUAUGAAGAUGUAUGUUGAGACCAUGAUGAUGUGUUAUAUAGUAGGAAUGACAUUGACAGCCUCUUCUUUUGCUUUUCCAUUUACAGAUUAUAAUAUUUGUAAAUGAUCUGAUAGAAUCUGAUUUUAAAUCUCUCUCUCUUCUCCUUUCCUUUCCUCUUUUUGUGUCUUUCAUUUCCUCUAUUCGUUCUCAAAGAGCUCCAUAUGUCACAGUCGCCUGCUCUCACCUCUGCUUCUUUUCUUCUCAUUGUUUCUCAUUGUCUGUCGGUCCAUAUCCUGCUCUUUCAGAGUCAGUCGCUGUCUAUCUAUCUCUUACUUUCUGUCUUGUGUUAGUGUCUUGAUCUGUUUGUCUGCUUAGCUCCCUGUAAUUCUAUUUAAUAUUGUUUGCAUGUCGAAGCAUUUGCAUUUAGAUAAUGUAAAUUCCUUAUUAUUUUACAAAGAGUUUGUACAAAAAACUACAAAGUUUCAGGAUGAAACAAUCAUCUUGCAAGCAAACAGGUCAUGCUGACUUUCAAUGAUGAAAAGCCUUCGUGUCUAAUUACAGUGCAGAGAUGAAAUGUGUAUCUAUGGCUUUCUCGCUAUUAGGCAGAUGAAUGUAGGGAUGUAGGCUCACAAGGUCAAUUACAACACAUUUAAUGGAAAUAUGUGCAUGAAGCUUCACUGUACCGUGCAUGAGAGUUUUCCCAGCUAAUAAAAAUAUGUUCUAAGAAAAA